UUUCCGUAGGUGGCACGUUUGCCUGCCGGAAGCCCCGCAGCGACUCUAAAGAACUGCCCCAGUCGCCCCUAUCUCCGGGGCUGGCGACGCCAUCAGUCUGCGCUGGGAGGCCCUCUUUCUGGGGUCGAUCAGCAGCUUCAGAACCCCUGGAGUUCACAGAUCAAAUGAUCGCGGCCACGUUCGUGGUUGAGAUAUGACCGGCCUCGGCUGUCACCGGCCAGAGAUUUGCGGAACCUGCGGAAGGAUCAUU
rnacentral:rRNA from 1 species